rnacentral:rRNA from 1 species
CCAAUAGCGUAUAUUAAAGUUGUUGCAGUUAAAAAGCUCGUAGUUGAAUUUCGGGGUUAGUAGGUUGGUCAUGCCUCUGGUAUGUACUGGUCUCACUGAUUCCUCCUUCCUGAUGAACCGUAAUGCCAUUUAUUUGGUGUUGCGGGGAAUUUGGACUGUUACUUUGAAAAAAUUAGAGUGUUUAAAGCAAGCUAACGCUUGAAUACAUUA